rnacentral:rRNA from 1 species
UACGUAGGGUGCUAGCGUUGUUCGGAAUCAUUGGGCGUAAAGCGCGCGUAGGCGGUUUGUUAAGUCGGGUGUGAAAUCCCUGGGCUCAACCGAGGAAGUGCAUCCGAAACUAACAAGCUGGAAGACGGUAGAGGAAGGUGGAAUUCCUAGUGUAGAGGUGAAAUUCGUAGAUAUUAGGAGGAAUACCGGUGGCGAAGGCGGCCUUCUGGACCGUUCUUGACGCUGAGACGCGAAAGCGUGGGGAGCGAACAGG